CCCUUAGAUGUUCUGGGCUGCACGCGCGCUACACUGACACACGCAACGAGUCUCCUGCCCUGACAGGGUCGGGUAAUCAUUUGAGUGUGUGUCGUGAUGGGGAUAGAGUAUUGCAAUUAUUGCUCUUGAACGAGGAAUUCCUAGUAAGCACAAGUCAGCAGCUUGUGCUGAUUACGUCCCUGCCCUUUGUACACACCGCCCGUCGCUCCUACCGAUUGGGUGUGCUGGUGAAAUGUUCGGAUCGGCCGUUUGUCGCGGUUUCCGCGUCAUGUGGCUGAGAAGUUCAUUAAACCCUCCCACCUAGAGGAAGGAGAAGUCGUAACA
rnacentral:rRNA from 1 species